rfam:Clostridiales bacterium KLE1615 genomic scaffold Scaffold961, whole genome shotgun sequence.
CAUGGUGCAAUGAAGAAGAAUAGUACUUUCAGGCGGUUUCACAGAGAGUAUGCGGUUGGUGAGAGCAUACAAAUGCGCGGGAACGAACCUACUUUGGAGCAUUCCAGGAAACUGGACGCAGCCAAGCGUUACAGGCAUAAAAAAGAGAAAACCGCAUGGUUUUAAUAAGGGUGGUACCGCCGAAGCAAAGAAUGAUUUGGUCCCUUGU